rnacentral:misc_RNA from 1 species
UUUCUUUUUUUUUUUUUUUUUGGCUUUUUCACUCAUCAUCCGCCUUUUUUUCCCCUCUCUUUCUCUGUAUUUCAAUUGGCAACUCUUACAGAUAACAACAUUAUCAAAACUUCACAUUAGCAUUAUUAUAGUAAUUUCACUUGUCCUUAUCUGUGUUCAUUUACAUAACUCGUUGAUUAAAUAAAUUAGUGUAUAAUAGAUACAAAAAUAUAAUUGAGGUGAUCAGUAGAUCAAAAUAAAAGUAUGGAGUGCUACCAGACUUUUCAGUGGAAGUACAAGGGGCAAUUUAUGUUUUCAGCCAUUGAAAAAAAAAGAAAGAGGCAAAUAUCAAAUAUUUAAAACAGCAAAAUAUAUAAAAUUCCCUAAUAUCAUCAAAAUUUUCAACUGAUCAUUCUACUAAAUAGAUCUACAGACAAUUACCUUGGAGAGAACACCAAGCCCAGA